rnacentral:rRNA from 2 species
UGCAGUCGAGCGAAUCGAUGGGAGCUUGCUCCCUGAGAUUAGCGGCGGACGGGUGAGUAACACGUGGGCAACCUGCCUAUAAGACUGGGAUAACUUCGGGAAACCGGAGCUAAUACCGGAUACGUUCUUUUCUCGCAUGAGAGAAGAUGGAAAGACGGUUUACGCUGUCACUUAUAGAUGGGCCCGCGGCGCAUUAGCUAGUUGGUGAGGUAAUGGCUCACCAAGGCGACGAUGCGUAGCCGACCUGAGAGGGUGAUCGGCCAMACUGGGACUGAGACACGGCCCAGACUCCUACGGGAGGCAGCAGUAGGGAAUCUUCCGCAAUGGACGAAAGUCUGACGGAGCAACGCCGCGUGAACGAAGAAGGCCUUCGGGUCGUAAAGUUCUGUUGUUAGGGAAGAACAAGURCCAGAGUAACUGCUGGUACCUUGACGGUACCUAACCAGAAAGCCACGGCUAACUACGUGCCAGCAGCCGCGGUAAUACGUAGGUGGCAAGCGUUGUCCGGAAUUAUUGGGCGUAAAGCGCGCGCAGGUGGUUCCUUAAGUCUGAUGUG